rnacentral:rRNA from 1 species
CGAAAAGACCCCGGGAGCUUUACUGUAGCUUGAUAUUGGGUCUAGGUUUUUGUUGCGUAGCAUAGGUGGGAGAGGUUGAUCCCCGGUUUCCGGAUCGGGGGGACUCGUCAGUGAAAUACCACUCUUUAAAAACUUAGAUUCUAACCAAUCCGAUACCUAAAAAUGGAAAGCGGAUUGAGACAGUGUCUGGCGGGCAGUUUGUUUGGGGCGAAACCCUUAAGAAGACUGGUCAUUAAGCCGAUCAGUUGUGGGGGCUCCGCGUAAUGCGGAGAAAACAUUCAGCUAUAUGCUGGAACAUCCGGAUGUAUAUGUUGGUACCCGUCGAAGGGUAAAAAACCAACUUUGAAUAUUUCGCGCUUCUGCGGUAACGCAGUAUGUACGAAAUGUGCCGGACAAUCAGCAGGCAACCGAGCGCCUAUGGGUGCUUGGGAGCCCUCAACGACUAUACGCUGAAACCGCUGUAUGGCAGCGGCAUGAUAUAGUCUGAUCUUUCGGGCGACCGAAAGUGCGCAUACUUGCGCAACUUAAUAUGCAUUCAUUGGAAAUCGAAGAGCGAAAGAAACACAUACGAAUAAGCGAUUUCGAGAGAGAUAUUAUUGUGGGCAAACUUCUUGGUGACGGCCACCUUGAAACAAAGAACCAAGGCAGAACGUAUCGGCUGAAAGUGGAGCAUUCAAUCAAGCAAAAGGAAUACGUUGAUUGGGUCUACGGAAAAUUACGGCACUUGGCGAUGUCAGAGCCGUGUGUGAAAGAAAAAGAUGUAUUUCCACCGCAAGGCGGAACAUUCAAAUUUCACGGAUACGGUUUUACCAGUUUGUCGCUUGGCCAAUUACGUUUUUAUGGCCAGCAAUUCUAUAAUCAUGGCAAGAAAGUUAUUCCGAAGAUGAUUGGAAAAAUGCUUUCUCCAUCGGUGAUUGCCAUUUGGUAUCUUGAUGACGGAUCGCUUAAAUCGAAUACCCAUCGAACAUACAUUAUCCAUACCUAUGGAUAUACGAAGUCUGAUUUGCGGAGAGUGCAGGAUGCACUCCUGAAGCGCUUUGACAUACACACAAAUCUUCAUCGUCAAAAUAAGAACGGAAAAGUAUACUGGAGAAUGUAUGUCAUGUCGGAGUCGGCUUGGACAUUUCAGAAAUUGAUCGAGCCGAUUAUCAAACACAUUCCAUCAAUGCAAUAUAAAUUAGGGAACACACAUGCCCAAAAAGUAACGGAGGGGCUUAAAGGUUGGCUUAGGACGAAUGGAAACCGUCCAUGACGUGUAAAGGCACAAGCCAGCUUAACUCUAAGGCGGACAUGCCGAGGAGAUACGAAAGUAUAACUUAGUGAUCCGAUGGCUAUAGUACUUAUUUACAUUCAGGGGUAACUCUGAAUGUGAGUAUGUAUUUCUUACUAGAAUAAGGCCAAAGCUCAACGGAUAAAAGCUACCCCGGGGAUAACAGGCUAGUCGCUUCCAAGAGUCCAUAUCGACGAAGCGGAUCGGCACCUCGAUGUCGGCUCACCCUAUCCUGGGACUGGAGAAGGCCCCAAAGGUUUGGCUGUUCGCCAAUUAAAAGGGUACGCGAGCUGGGUUCAAACCGUUAAGAAACGAGAUUUAUGAAUCUUGAUUUAUGAUUUAAGAUUUAUGAUCAGUUUUUUAACAGUUUGAACCCGAGGAAUGACAUCAAUAACGGCGGCGUUCCGCAGUAACGCGGAAUGUGAAGUUAACUUAUAUCGGUAAAAUCCUUUUGACAUUUUCCAUAAAUGUUUCUAGAGACAAUACCGAGGGAAGAAAAACAUUACUAUCUUUAAACCACAAAAAUUAUGGCAAUCGAAAACAAUGAAAGCAACCCAUCAUACCAAACACAAAAGGCAGAGAAAAUAGAAGAGAUUGGAGUUUUACUUCAAGAUCUGUCGCAUAGCCUUUCGUAUAAAGAUGGAAAAUUGCAUCAAUUUAACCUAUUUGACCUUCAAGAAAUUGAAAGUCGCCUAAAGGCCCUCAUAAAAGAAGCGAAUGAGGGAAGAAUAAAAGACUAGAUGGUAAUGUUUUAUCACCCGUAGAGACUACACGUUAACCUCCCAAUGAAAAUUUGCAUCCGCAAAUUGAAUCGGGAUGAUGAUAUAGUCCAAUGCACAUAGUAAUAUGUGGUAGACAUGCGUGAGACAGGUUGGUCUCCUAUCUACUGCAGGCGCAAGAUACUUGAGAGGAGUCGUCCUUUGUACGAGAGGAUCAGGAUGAACGAACCUCUGGUCUAUCGGCUGUUCCGCCAGGAGCACUGCCGAGUAGCUAUGUUCGGAAGGGAUAA